rnacentral:lncRNA from 1 species
AUGUUUUUUCUUAGUUUUUUGAUUGAUCCUCAUAUUUUGAAGACUAAUUCUUUUGAAGGAUGUAUAUAUAGAUAAAUAAAAAAUGUAUAAAUGUCAAGGUAACAGUUUGAGGCGUUUUGGGGGGGAAACAGAUGUCACUGGAGAAUACCAGGGUAGGGUGGCGGUUCCAGAGCCCUGGUAAUAGAUUAUUUCUCUAGUUUUUGAUAUAAUAAAAACAUUAAAGUUAUUAUAAAGAGAAGAUUUUGUGCAUUUCAUAGAUGGAAUUCCAAGAAGAGAGCCACACUUCCCUUACUCCCCUGUUAUGCCCCAAUCGCCUCUCUCCUUCUGCACUCUCCAUGAGUUUUUGCAAAGCCAUAAUUUUAAUCUGCUCUAUAUUCACAAGCUUAACUGGCCACUAAUCAUAAUAUUCAACAAAUAAAAAGUAGGAGGAUGAAAGUUCCACAGGAGAAUAAACAAGAGCUAAAAGCAACCUUCAUAUUCCAAAAUGACCAUUUAAUUCUUAAUCUUUUUUGUAUUCUAUGUUAAUGGCCACAUGUCAGAAAACAUAAGAUAUAGGUCUUCCUGGUACUGGCAUAUUUCACUAAGAAUAAUCAUUUACAGUUGCAUCCAUUUUGUUGCAAAAGACAGGGCUCCAUUCUUUUUUAUGGCUGAGUAAUAUUCCAUUGUGUGUAUAUACCCCAUUUUCUUGCAGUCAUCAGUUGAUGGACGUCUGGGUUGAUUUCAAAUCUUGGCUGUUGUGAAUUGAGCUGCAAUAAAUAUGGGGGUACAAAUAACUCAUUUCUUAACCUGAAUGAGUCCGCUACAAAUCAGUCCAGCAAAUUGUCUCCCAUGGAGCAACUCAACAAUCCAAGCUACUUUAACCCUAGAGUUCCACCAUUCAACAACCAUUUUCUUAGUUUGCCUCUUUAUUUGGCCUGUGGGAUUGCAGGUCUCGGUGAACAAUUAAACCUUCACACUACUGCCUGUCUUCCCUACUGCUGACACCUGGGUUAUCACUGUCUGAGGCUGCAAGGCUUAUCGAGGGAGGGGUUCUUGUCACUUCUGUUCUUCAGUGUGUUGCCUAAACUUGGCACUAUGUCUCCAGUUUAAUAGUCUCAAUAAAACUUGCUUAAAUGAAGAAAUGUGUUUCCUG